UUGAAGAGAAUACUUCGCCUUGAUUUUAUCAAUUAACACAAAAUAAACCUAAAACAUCACAGAUACAUGACUGGUAUUACAGCACAUUAUUGUAGUAAUGCUGCCAUCAGCUGGUAAAAAGAUGAAAUAGCAGGGUCCACGACACAAGGAAGUGACUGAAGUGCAAGUGAACAGCAGUUAGAGCUCAUCGAGAACAAACUCUUAUUUUCACAUUAAUUCCAGAAAUUAUCUGCAGGAUAUUCACUGACUCUGAAAGGAGUGUAUAUAUGUAGACAAUCCUCACCCCCUGAACACAGACGAAUAAAAUAAAGGUUUAAACACAAGAGGAAGCAAAUGGCUGAAUCUUCACAACCAACAAAAGGCAGAAAAAGGAAGAUCAUGAGUGAAACACAUACAUUUUGUGACUCCAGCAGUCUCCUGUCUGAAGAUCAGCUGUUAUGUUCGAUCUGUCUGGAUGUUUUUGCUUAUCCAGUCACCACUCCAUGUGGACACAACCUCUGUAAGAGCUGCCUUACAGAGUACUGGGAGAAGAGUCAACACUAUCUCUGUCCGUUAUGUAAAGAGGUAUUCACCAAGAGACCUGAACUGAAGAUUAAUACAACACUGAGAGAGGUUGCAGAUCACUUCAAGAAGAAAAGUGCUGUUGACAAACCUGAGGUUCUUUGUGAUGCCUGCAGUGGA